CGCGGCCGAUCAGGCUGUUGGUGAGGCAACGGCUCACCAAACCUAUAACCGGUCCGGGCCGUGGGAGCGGGAGCCCGGAGAUGGGAACUGAGACAAGGUCCCAGGCCCUACGGGGCGCAGCAGUUACGAAAACUUGUCACUGCACGAAAGUUCGAACGGGCUACCCCGAGUGCCGUCCGCUGAGGAUGGCUUUUCUCUGCUGUAAGAAGGCGGAGGAAUAAGGAGAGGGCAAGUCUGGUGUCAGCCGCCGCGGUAAUACCAGCUCUCCGAGUGGUGGGGAUGUUUAUUGGGCCUAAAGCGUCCGUAGCUGGCCUUUCAAGUCUCUCGUUAAAUCCAGCGAUUCAAUCGUUGGACUGCGGGAGAUCCUGUUAGGCUAGGGGGCGGGAGAAGCCGACGGUAUUCUCGGGGUAGGGGUAAAAUCCUGUAAUCCCGGGAAGACCACCAGUGGCGAAGGCGGUCGGCUAGCACGCGCUCGACGGUGAGGGACGAAAGCUGGGGGAGCGAACCGGAUUAGAUACCCGGGUAGUCCCAGCUGUAAACGAUGCAGGCUAGGUGUUU
rnacentral:rRNA from 1 species